UCCUCUGCCAAGUUCGAACUCUCUCUUUUCCUUCUCGCCCGAGAGAAGAGCCGCCGCUGCCGCUGCCGCUGCCGCCCGAAGCCGAGAAACCCUAAGCGAAGAAGGGGGAAAAAAUGGCGGACGGGCUCCAUCUGAAGGGCACGAUGAGGGCCCACACCGACAUGGUGACGGCCAUCGCCAUCCCGAUCGACAACUCCGACAUGAUCGUCACCUCCUCCCGCGACAAGUCCAUCAUCCUCUGGCAGCUCACCAAGGAGGACAAGGUCUACGGCGUCCCCCGCCGCCGCCUCACCGGCCACUCCCACUUCGUCCAGGACGUCGUCCUCUCCUCCGACGGCCAGUUCGCCCUCUCCGGCUCCUGGGACGGCGAGCUCCGCCUCUGGGAUCUCGCCGCCGGCGUCUCCGCCCGAAGGUUUGUGGGCCACACUAAGGACGUGCUCUCGGUGGCCUUUUCCAUCGACAACCGGCAGAUUGUAUCAGCAUCUCGUGAUCGCACGAUCAAGCUCUGGAACACUCUGGGAGAGUGCAAGUACACCAUUCAGGAAGGUGAAGCUCAUACUGAUUGGGUGAGUUGUGUCAGGUUCAGUCCCAAUAACCUUCAGCCAACCAUCGUCUCCGCAUCCUGGGACCGCACUGUGAAAGUGUGGAAUUUGACCAAUUGCAAGCUGAGAAACACCCUGCAUGGGCAUUCUGGCUAUGUGAAUACUGUGGCUGUGUCUCCUGAUGGGUCACUUUGCGCUAGUGGUGGCAAGGAUGGAGUGAUAUUGCUCUGGGACUUGGCAGAAGGGAAGAAGCUGUACUCGCUGGAGGCUGGUGCCAUUAUUCAUUCACUUUGCUUCAGUCCAAAUAGGUAUUGGCUCUGUGCAGCCACAGAGAACAGCAUUAAGAUAUGGGAUCUAGAGAGCAAGAGCAUUGUGGAGGACUUGAGGGUUGAUUUGAAGAAUGAAGCUGAUUUAACUGAUGAAACUACGGGGGCUAUGAGCACAAAUAAGAAGGUCAUCUACUGCACGAGCUUGAACUGGAGCUUUGAUGGAAGCACCUUGUUCAGCGGUUACAACGAUGGCGUGAUCAGAGUCUGGGGAAUUGGGCGUUAUUAGGAAAUUUUUGAGAAUCACCAGUGCUGAGCUGCUUUCCAAAGAUUUCGUUUAUCCUCUGUUUUUUAGUGGUUUUAACGAAACUUUUAAGC